rnacentral:ncRNA from 1 species
CGACCUCAGAUCAGGCGGGACUACCCGCCGGAUUUAAGCAUAUUAAUAAGCGGAGGAAAAGAAAACAACCGUGAUUCCCUUAGUAGCGGCGAGCGAACCGGGAAAAGCCCAUCGCCGAAUCUCGCCGCGCACUUUUGUGUCGCGGCACGUAUGAGAGUUGUGGCGUACGGGCCGGCCUCGUUGCCGGGGCGCACGUGACGGUCCAAGUCUCCCUUGAACGGGGCCAUGGCCCGCAGAUGGUGCCAGGCCAGUAGAGGCCGUCACAGCGUUCCGGGAUCGGACCGCGCCUUCGAGUCGGGUUGCUUGAGAGUGCAGCCCGAAGCGGGUGGUAAACUCCAUCUAAGGCUAAAUACGGCCACGAGACCGAUAGUUUACAAGUACCGUGAGGGAAAGUUGAAAAGAACUUUGAAGAGAGAGUUCAUAAGAACGUGAAACCGCUCGGUUGUAAACGGACAGAGCUCGCGAAUCCCCGCCGGGCGAAUUCACGGUCGGUCUAACCGCCGGCCGGAUCUUUCGCUCGGUUAGCGGACGUCGCGACCCGUUGGGCGCCGGCCGAAUGGCCCGGGUGACGUUCGUCGCGUCGGUCGCGUUUCGGCGUGACCGUUCGCGCCGAGCCCCGGUGCUCAUGGUCGGCUCGCCCGACGGCAAGAACCGUCGACGCGGCCCCGUCGCAGGCGGGGUCCCGUCGGUCGGCGACGUGUUUCGAGCUACUUUCCGACCCGUCUUGAAACACGGACCAAGGAGUCUAACGUGUGCGCGAGUCAACGGUGAUCUUACGAAAAACCACGUUUGGCGCAAUGAAAGUGAACCGUUUACGGUGCGGACGAUGGCCUAGCGACCGAACCCACCGGCGUUCAAAGUCGCGCUGGUCCGCAGUCCGGGGGCGUCUCCGCCAAGUCGGCUUCGGCCGGCUGGGGGCGCACCCUUAGCGCACACGUUGGUACCCGAAAGAUGGUGAACUAUGCCUGGCCAGGAUGAAGUCAGGGGAAACCCUGAUGGAGGUCCGCAGCGAUUCUGACGUGCAAAUCGAUCGUCUGAGCUGGGUAUAGGGGCGAAAGACUAAUCGAACCAUCUAGUAGCUGGUUCCAUCCGAAGUUUCCCUCAGGAUAGCUGGCGCCGAUGUGUCCCGCCCGUUCGCGGGCGUACGGACGCCGGUGGGACUCCGCGCUGUACGGCGCGGUAACAACACGCUCGUAACACGGAGGAUGUCUCAUACGGUAAAGCGAAUGAUUAGAGGACAUUGGGGCCGAAACGACCUCAACCUAUUCUCAAACUAUAAAUGAGUGAGAUCGCCGGCUUUACCUGGUACACCGCG